rnacentral:rRNA from 2 species
ACAAGCAGCGGAGCAUGUGGUUUAAUUCGAAGCAACGUCGAAGAACCUUACCAGGGCUUGACAUCCCUCUGACAGUCCCUUAACCGGGACCUUCUUCGGGACAGAGGAGACAGGUGGUGCAUGGUUGUCGUCAGCUCGUGUCGUGAGAUGUUGGGUUAAGUCCCGCAACGAGCGCAACCCUUGUCUUUAGUUGCCAUCAUUCAGUUGGGCACUCUAGAGAGACUGCCGAGGACAACUCGGAGGAAGGUGGGGAUGACGUCAAAUCAUCAUGCCCCUUAUGUCCUGGGCUACACACGUGCUACAAUGGCUGGUACAAAGAGACGCAAGACCGCGAGGUGGAGCAAAUCUCAAAACCAGUCCCAGUUCGGAUUGCAGGCUGCAACUCGCCUGCAUGAAGUCGGAGUUGCUAGUAAUCGCAGAUCAGAAUGCUGCGGUGAAUGCGUUCCCGGGUCUU